UUUGUAUAAUGGGUCAGCGACUUAUAUUCAGUGGCAAGGUUAACCAUCUAGGGGAGCCGUAGGGAAACCGAGUCUUAACUGGGCGUUCAGUCUCUGGAUAUAGACCCGAAACCAGGUGAUCUAGCCAUGGGCAGGUUGAAGGUUGAGUAACAUCAACUGGAGGACCGAACCGACUAAUGUUGAAAAAUUAGCGGAUGACUUGUGGCUAGGGGUGAAAGGCCAAUCAAACCUGGAGAUAGCUGGUUCUCCCCGAAAGCUAUUUAGGUAGCGCCUCGGACGAAUACUACUGGGGGUAGAGCACUGUUAAGGCUAGGGGGUCAUCCCGACUUACCAACCCUUUGCAAACUCCGAAUACCAGUAAGUACUAUCCGGGAGACACACGGCGGGUGCUAACGUCCGUCGUGGAGAGGGAAACAACCCAGACCGCCAGCUAAGGUCCCAAAUUACUACUAAGUGGGAAACGAUGUGGGAAGGCUCAGACAGCCAGGAUGUUGGCUUAGAAGCAGCCAUCAUUUAAAGAAAGCGUAAUAGCUCACUGGUCGAGUCGGCCUGCGCGGAAGAUGUAACGGGGCUAAGUAGUAAACCGAAGCUGCGGCAAUAUACUUUUGUAUAUUGGGUAGGGGAGCGUUCUGUAAGCGGUUGAAGGUGUGUGGUAACGCAUGCUGGACGUAUCAGAAGUGCGAAUGCUGACAUGAGUAACGAUAAAGGGGGUGAAAAACCUCCUCGCCGGAAGACCAAGGGUUCCUGUCCAACGUUAAUCGGGGCAGGGUAAGUCGACCCCUAAGGCGAGGCCGAAAGGCGUAGUCGAUGGGAAACGGGUUAAUAUUCCCGUACUUCUUACAAUUGCGAUGGGGGGACGGAGAAGGCUAGGUGGGCCUGGCGACGGUUGUCCAGGUUCAAGUGCGUAGGCUUAAGAGUUAGGUAAAUCCGGCUCUUUUUAAGGCUGAGACACGACGUCGAGCACCUACGGGUGUGAAGUCAUUGAUGCCAUGCUUCCAGGAAAAGCCUCUAAGCUUCAGAUUGUAAGGAAUCGUACCCCAAACCGACACAGGUGGUCGGGUAGAGAAUACCAAGGCGCUUGAGAGAACUCGGGUGAAGGAACUAGGCAAAAUGGUACCGUAACUUCGGGAGAAGGUACGCUCUUGAUGGUGAAGUCCCUCGCGGAUGGAGCUGACGAGAGUCGCAGAUACCAGGUGGCUGCAACUGUUUAUUAAAAACACAGCACUGUGCAAAAUCGUAAGAUGACGUAUACGGUGUGACGCCUGCCCGGUGCCGGAAGGUUAAUUGAUGGGGUUAGACUUCGGUCGAAGCUCUUGAUCGAAGCCCCGGUAAACGGCGGCCGUAACUAUAACGGUCCUAAGGUAGCGAAAUUCCUUGUCGGGUAAGUUCCGACCUGCACGAAUGGCGUAAUGAUGGCCACGCUGUCUCCACCCGAGACUCAGUGAAAUUGAAAUCGCUGUGAAGAUGCAGUGUACCCGCGGCUAGACGGAAAGACCCCGUGAACCUUUACUACAGCUUGGCACUGAACAUUGACCCUACAUGUGUAGGAUAGGUGGGAGGCUUUGAAGCACGUACGCCAGUAUGUGUGGAGCCGUCCUUGAAAUACCACCCUUGUAGUGUUGAUGUUCUAACGUCGACCCCUAAUCGGGGUUGCGGACAGUGCCUGGUGGGUAGUUUGACUGGGGCGGUCUCCUCCCAAAGAGUAACGGAGGAGCACGAAGGUGGGCUAAUCACGGUUGGACAUCGUGAGGUUAGUGCAAUGGCAUAAGCCCGCUUGACUGCGAGAAUGACAAUUCGAGCAGGUGCGAAAGCAGGUCAUAGUGAUCCGGUGGUUCUGAAUGGAAGGGCCAUCGCUCAACGGAUAAAAGGUACUCCGGGGAUAACAGGCUGAUACCGCCCAAGAGUUCAUAUCGACGGCGGUGUUUGGCACCUCGAUGUCGGCUCAUCACAUCCUGGGGCUGAAGUCGGUCCCAAGGGUAUGGCUGUUCGCCAUUUAAAGUGGUACGCGAGCUGGGUUUAGAACGUCGUGAGACAGUUCGGUCCCUAUCUGCCGU
rnacentral:rRNA from 1 species